AUUGAACGCUGGCGGCAUGCCUUACACAUGCAAGUCGAACGGUAACGGGCCUUCGGGUGCCGACGAGUGGCGAACGGGUGAGUAAUACAUCGGAACGUGCCCGAUCGUGGGGGAUAACGAGGCGAAAGCUUUGCUAAUACCGCAUACGAUCUACGGAUGAAAGCAGGGGACCGCAAGGCCUUGCGCGGACGGAGCGGCCGAUGGCAGAUUAGGUAGUUGGUGGGAUAAAAGCUUACCAAGCCGACGAUCUGUAGCUGGUCUGAGAGGAUGAUCAGCCACACUGGGACUGAGACACUGCCCAGACUCCUACGGGAGGCAGCAGUGGGGAAUUUUGGACAAUGGGCGCAAGCCUGAUCCAGCCAUGCCGCGUGCAGGAUGAAGGCCUUCGGGUUGUAAACUGCUUUUGUACGGAACGAAAAGCCUUCUUUUAAUACAGGAGGGUCAUGACGGUACCGUAAGAAUAAGCACCGGCUAACUACGUG
rnacentral:rRNA from 1 species